UGAAAUCCCAGAGCUUAACUCUGGAACUGCCAUCAAAACUUUUUAGCUAGAGUAUGAUAGAGGAAAGCAGAAUUUCUAGUGUAGAGGUGAAAUUCGUAGAUAUUAGAAAGAAUACCAAUUGCGAAGGCAGCUUUCUGGAUCAUUACUGACACUGAGGAACGAAAGCAUGGGUAGCGAAGAGGAUUAGAUACCCUCGUAGUCCAUGCCGUAAACGAUGUGUGUUAGACGUUGGAAAUUUAUUUUCAGUGUCGCAGCGAAAGCGAUAAACACACCGCCUGGGGAGUACGACCGCAAGGUUAAAACUCAAAUGAAUUGACGGGGACCCGCACAAGUAGUGGAGCAUGUGGUUUAAUUCGAAGGUACGCGCAGAACCUUACCAACACUUGACAUGUUCGUCGCGACUCUAAGAGAUUAGAGUUUUCGGUUCGGCCGGACGAAACACAGGUGCUGCAUGGCUGUCGUCAGCUCGUGUCGUGAGAUGUUGGGUUAAGUCCCGCAACGAGCGCAACCCUCACUUUUAGUUGCCAUCAUUUAGUUGGGCACUCUGAAAGAACUGCCAGUGAUAAGCUGGAGGAAGGUGGGGAUGACGUCAAGUCCUCAUGGCCCUUACGUGUUGGGCUACACACGUGCUACAAUGGCAUCUACAAUAGGAAGCAAGAUGGCGACAUCAAGCAAAUCCUAAAAAGAUGCCUCAGUUCGGAUUGCACUCUGCAACUCGAGUGCAUGAAGCUGGAAUUACUAGUAAUCGCGGAUCAGCGCGCCGCGGUGAAUAUGUUCCCGGGUCUUGUACACACCGCCCGUCACACCAUGGGAGUUGGUUCUACCUUAAGGCAAAGCUUAAAACCUUUGACCACGGUAUAGUCAGCGACUGGGGUGAAGUCGUAACAAGGUAAC
rnacentral:rRNA from 1 species